UUUUGAUAUGCAAUUCAGUCAACUAUAUAUUCUAUAGGAUAAAACAAAUUCUUGUAUUAAAUUGACGAGGCAUGAGUUAAUGAAUUAGCACAUUCCUAAAAACAAUACAGAAUCAAUACUCUGACCCCCAUCUGUUAUCGAUGAAUCAUGGCCUAACAUAACCUCCAUUCUGUCUACAGCCAAGGCUCUGAAACUUGUGAGUUCGUCAGAACCUCCAGGAAGGCUCAUUACACUACAGCUCACUGGGUCCAUCCCUAGAGCUUCCGGUUCCGGGUAUCUCAGUAGGGAAGGGCCUGAUCAUCUGCAUUUCUCAGAGGUUCCCAGGAGAUGCUGAUGUUGCUGGUCUGAGGACCCCAGUGAGAGAACCUUCUCGCCCAUCUAGCUCCUACUGGCUCAAGCGUUCAACUGUCCCGGCUGUAACUGCCACUGUUUUACUGUCACCGCUUCGCUCCUGUGUUCAGGGUAGGCUGUCUACCUACUUCUCCCGCUCUGGCUCCCAGCACAAGGGAGAGCUUGGCUUUCUGCCCCAUUAGUUGGCUUUCUGCUCCACACCAGCUGGCAAAGGCUGAAAGAAAAGGCCUUCUAAGUAAGCAUCCCAGCAGGGAGAAUUCCCUAUGAUGAGCCCUUGGAUCAGAGGAAAGGCUGUUCCCCUUUCAAAGCAUAAGAUCUUCCCUUUCCCCCAUACAUUGGGUGUCUAUUAAGUACUUGCAUCUACAUACAAUUGGUUUCUUCACUAACCUUUUUUUUUCCAAAGCUUUGAAUUCUUCAAGAUGAAACGCUCUUUUUUAUCCCAAAAUAUAGCUUUUUCAGAACUUUUUCACAGACACACACACACACACACACACACACACGCACCAACAGAAUGCAACCAGGAUUUUAAAUAGUGGUUGCUGCACAGAAGUCCGAGAGCAUGCAGCUAUGGCCGUGUUUCUGUUUGGCCUGAUUUCUUGCUUGGAGUUGUCAGGUAUAAUCAAAGGAUCGCUGCUUUGGAAAUAAGGAGCUAAGUUUUGGGGUUCUUCACUUGAUCCCCACUCCUUUUAGGGUUGCUAGUUGACGAGAAUUGCUUAAAAAUCAGUUUUUUUCUUAAGGGGGAGUGCAGUGUCCUUACUGAGAGUGUUUUAACUAGCAAGGAGGCACCCCGGAGCCGGGCUGGGGAGCUGCUACACUGGACCCCUGUAAGGAGACAGAUGGGCCUUUGAGGACCUCCAUCUUGCCUUUCUGCCCACGUCUCCUGGGUGGUGCACGUGAGGCCAUUCCAGCAGGGCAGCGAUGACAAGGCCCUACCACUGGACUACACAGGCAGGCGACCCGGAUCCAGUCCCAGCUCCACCCCGAAGAAGAGUGUCCCCGGGUCACUUACUUGAGCUCCAGGAUGAUAUUUGGUUGUGUAUCUACAGGGGGAUGGGCCCAGAUGACCUCAGAAAUCCACUGCAGCCAUCCUGUUCUGUUAGCAAGAACAGGAAAUGGUUUUGGCCAAAUGCGCUAAUGAAUAUGCUUUUGAUGUGACAAUACCUUGGCGUUUGUGAACUGUGCAUGACCAGGGAGGAACGGUUGUUGUCCAAAAGCUGAAGAGCCCCACCUGCCAGGGCAGGACCUUGUGGAAUCAAGGUGGGGGCGCCCUCCUAGACUCUGUCCCCCAGCACCCCAUGGGCCUGCUCUGACCACCACACUUCCUGCCCACGUGGCUCCCUUCGGCACAGAGAGCGAGUGAAAGAACAUCCCUGCGUGGGCUGUGUGGGACAAAAAGAAUCCUUUCCCUUUUCCUCCCCCUUCAGUCUGGACCUCACUGACACCCCCCUUUCUUGACAUAUACAUAUUAACUUAAUAUAUAUGUCGUUAAAAAUUAAUCACCGAAUUGCGAACCUAAAACGAACUGAAUCCUAUGGCAUGUAAAUUAUACUUUGAUAAAGCAGUUAAAAACGUUCCUUAAAAAUAAUUGUUUAAAUGUAAAGGUUUUAGUUGAUUUUUCUGCAAUUCAGCUCUGAAUCAAAACUAAGGGGACACUGGUCCAGACACUUUUGAGAUGAUCACACACACACACACACACACACACACACACACACAUACACACACACACGCAGGACUAACACAAAUGCUCAGAACCCGGGCAGAACCUGAAAGGCAUCCCGAGGUCAGCAACGACAGGCAUCUGAGUCAACGGACGGCUGCCGCUUCGGCAGCCAGAAAAAUGAUAUUCCUUCGCCUUCGGGAAGCAGGGACCCUCCCAGAUACUCCAAAGGGCAUACAGUUCCCAAUCUUCAGGGCGCUCUCGGCAGCAUUUACUUUCUGAUGGGACAUCGAAAGAGCAAAGGAGACCACACAAUGAAGAAGCCACUAGAACCUCUUCCCAGCCCUGGCCUGGUCUCUCCGGGCCAGCAACCCCCAGGUUAGCCUUGCAACUGUGGAUUUUGGCAGUAUCUCCACAGCAUCCAUCACAUUUGAAGAUUUUUACAGUCUGGGUAUUUACUACUCCUUACACUUAAACAGGGUAGAACAGACUUCAACUUGGCAUCCUUUUGUUGUUGUUGUUCUGAACUUCAAAAAGAAAAUCUCCCAUCUGACUAUUUUUAAAAUUCAGGAGACUUAUACCUGUGAGACCUUGAAAAUGUCUAAGUUACUUUUCUUCCUGCUGCUCUAUUUUGUUUGGUCAAAUCGAGCACUGCCAGUGGCAAGUUCUCUAAUGAUUGAUUAGAGGGUGGGGUGUGGGUGGCUGGAUUUUCUGGUGAUGUUAGAGUGAGACAGCAAUUUGUGAUGAGCGAGUCAAGGAGCUGAGCUACACCAGAGGCAAGGCAGAUGACUGAAGCCUCAGGCCGGGGGUGAGCGUGGGAAGCAAGGGACCCAAGCCAGGAAAAAAUCAGAUGCAGUGGGUUCAUUUAUUUUGACAAACCUUUUCUUUGUAAUCAUCUGUAAUAAGACCACAGUAUAUUGUGCCGUGUGUAUGAUAUAUUCCGAGAAGGUAAUGAAGUCUGGGGGACAGGCAGCAUAACUCAGCUCCCAGCUAGUAAAUCCUUGCAUAGAAGUAAGCUAAAGUCAGAGGUGUGUGUGUGCGUGUGUGUGUGUGUGUGUGUGUGCGCGUAAAAAUUAUGGAGCUGGUACAUUAGCAAGGGCAAAAAUUAGCCAAGUUCUACUACUGCAUUGAGAUUUAGAACAUCAGAGUACAGUGACUACAUUUUUCUGUAGAGAUCUUUACAGCUAUUUGAAAUUAUGAACCCAUAAUAUGCAAAUGCACAGGGCUAAGAAAUACACAUUCUUGGCAGAGACUGAAGAUGUUAUAAUGUGUGCUGUAAACGGCAACGCAUGUGUGUAUAAAAUCCAUGCGCACAUACUAACUGGUCGAUUAUCCCCUCUAAAACCACACAUAAAUUCUCUUGACAGGAAUUGGAAUUUUGCACACAUCCCAAGAAUGAACAGACUCUUAAUGUGCUGUGUGUGUAUGGAUGGAGUA